rnacentral:lncRNA from 1 species
CACCAGAUCAGCCACAUUCUCUAGGGUCAGGUAUUUUCCUGCAGGGAUUCAGAAGAGGCACUUGCCCUCAUUCAUUGCUUUCCCAAACUCCCCCUUUUGGACCUCAACUAUGAGACAUCAGGACUUCCCAAAGCCUGGAACAGGGUAAAGGAGGGCUAUGUGUGCAGGUGUAGGGUGUACUUGGGAAGCAGAGGAAGAAAAGGCUGGAGAGACUUGAAAUGCCAUGGCCAAUAAUAUGGAUUUACCCUAAAGGCCAGUAAGUUGCAAAUGUCGCACCACAG